CAGGCCAACACAUGCAAGUCGAGCGGGCACUUCGGUGUCAGCGGCAGACGGGUGAGUAACACGUGGGAACGUGCCCUUCGGUUCGGAAUAACUCAGGGAAGCUUGAGCUAAUACCGGAUACGCCCUUUUGGGGAAAGGUUUACUGCCGAAGGAUCGGCCCGCGUCCGAUUAGCUAGUUGGUGAGGUAAUGGCUCACCAAGGCGACGAUCCUUAGCUGGUCUGAGAGGAUGAUCAGCCACACUGGGACUGAGACACGGCCCAGACUCCUACGGGAGGCAGCAGUGGGGAAUAUUGGACAAUGGGCGAAAGCCUGAUCCAGCAAUGCCGCGUGAGUGAUGAAGGCCUUAGGGUUGUAAAGCUCUUUUACCAGGGAUGAUAAUGACAGUAUCUGGAGAAUAAGCUCCGGCUAACUCCGUGCCAGCAGCCGCGGUAAU
rnacentral:rRNA from 1 species